GAUGAACGCUGGCGGCGUGCCUAAUACAUGCCAGUCGAGCGAACGGACGAGAAGCUUGCUUCUCUGAUGUUAGCGGCGGACGGGUGAGUAACACGUGGAUAACCUACCUAUAAGACUGGGAUAACUUCGGGAAACCGUAGCUAAUACCGGAUAAUAUUUUGAACCGCAUGGUUCAAAAGUGAAAGACGGUCUUGCUGUCACUUAUAGAUGGAUCCGCGCUGCAUUAGCUAGUUGGUAAGGUAACGGCUUACCAAGGCAACGAUGCAUAGCCGACCUGAGAGGGUGAUCGGCCACACUGGAACUGAGACACGGUCCAGACUCCUACGGGAGGCAGCAGUAGGGAAUCUUCCGCAAUGGGCGAAAGCCUGACGGAGCAACGCCGCGUGAGUGAUGAAGGCCUUCGGAUCGUAAAACUCUGUUAUUAGGGAAGAACAUAUGUGUAAGUAACUGUGCACAUCUUGACGGUACCUAAUCAGAAAGCCACGGCUAACUACGUG
rnacentral:rRNA from 1 species